rnacentral:pre_miRNA from 1 species
UUGUUACUCCCUCCGUCCGAAAAUACUUGUCCGGGAGAUGGAUGUAUCUAGGUGUAUUUUAGUUCUAGAUAAAUUCAUUUAUAUUCAAGUUUUGAGGCAAGUAAUUCUAGAUGGAGGGAUUACAUU